GGCCAGGAGAGUCCACGGUGCAGGCCUGCCAGUUUGCCAGCUCCUGGAGCUCUGUGAUGGAAGUGAAGAAUCAUGUCAUUCUCAAGGUCCAAGGGUAAGGUGAACAAGGCUGACCCACAUUUCUGAUUCACGGCACAACCAAGGAAGCCUCUUUCCUUAAGCAGGAGUGGAGGAUCAGCUGAGACUGGAGCCCUGGUGAUGAAGCCUAAUGUCUGAUCUAACUGAGGCUUACAAAGAAGCAACAGCUCAUGGGGACAACUUAACUGCACAUUUGACCUUGGAUCUUGCCAGCGAUCUCAGGGAAGGACAGGAGCGAUGGGUCCGCAUCCCCUUCCUCUGCACUUGACAUUUGACACUCAGCACACUGACCUCGUGACCCACUUGUAUGACUGCUGCC
ensembl:lncRNA